GUUUGAUCCUGGCUCAGAUUGAACGCGCUGGCGGGAUACUUUACACAUGCAGGAUCGAACGGCGGAACUUCGGUCUGGUGAGUGGCGAGACAGGUGAGUAAUGUAUCGGAACGUGCCUAGUAGCGGGGGAUAACUUGCGCCAGCCGUGUGUCCUGCAUACGCCCUUCGAGAAAGCGGGGACGGGCCUCGCACUGUGGAACGGCCGAUAUCGGAUUGGCUAGUUGGUGGGAGUAACAGCUCACCAAGGCGACGAUCCGUAGCUGGUUUGAAGAGGACGACCAGCCGCACUGGGACUGAGACACGGCCCAGACUCCUACGGGAGGCAGCAGUGGGGAAUUUUGGACAAUGGGGAAACCUGAUCCAGCCAUCCCGCGUGUGCGAUGAAGGCCUUCCCCUGGUUGUAAAGCACUUUUGGCAGGAAAGAAACGGCGCGGGACCAAUACCCCGUGCAACUGACAGUACCUGCAGAAUAAGCACCGGCUAACUACAUGCCAGCAACCGCGGUAAUACGUAGGGUGCGACGUUAAUCAGGAUACUGGGCGUAAAGCUGGCGUGCGCGGGCGGUUCGGAAGAAGAUGCUUAAUCCCAGGCUUAACUUUGGAACUGCAUUUUUAACUACCGAGCUUCAGGUAGGUCAGGGAGGUGGAAUUCCGCGUGUAGCAGUGAAAUGCGUAGACAUGCGGAGGAACACCGAUGGCGAAAAUAGCCUCCUGGGGACCAACACUGACGCUCAUGCACGAAAGCAUUAAGGAGCAAACAGGAUUAGAUACCCUGGUAGUCCACGCCCUAAACGAUGUCAACUAGCUGUUGGGGCCUUCGGGCCUUGGUAGCGCAGCUAACGCGUGAAGUUGACCGCCUGGGGAGUACGGUCGCAAGAUUAAAACUCAAAGGAAUUGACGGGGACCCGCACAAGCGGUGGAUGAUGUGGAUUAAUUCGAUGCAACGCGAAAAACCUUACCUACCCUUGACAUGUCUGGAAUCCCGAAGAGAUUCCCAGGGCUCGCAAGAGAACCGGAACACAGGGUCUCAUGGCUGUCGUGGCUCGUGUCGUGAGAUGUUGGGUUAAGUCCGCAACCAGGCGCAACCCUUAUCAUAGUUGCUACGAAGGGCACUCUAAUGAAUACCGGUGACAAACCGGAGAGGUGGUGACGUCAAGUCCUCAUGGCCCUUAUGGUGCAGGCUUCACACGUCAUACAAUGGUCAGGACAGGGGUCGCCAACCCGCGAGGAGAGCCAAUCCCAGAAACCCGAUCGUAGUCGGAUCGCAGUCACAACUCGACUGCACGUGAAGUCGGAAUCGCUAGUAAUCGCGGAUCAGCAUGUCGCGGUGAAUACGUUCCCAGGUCUUGUACACACCGCCCGUCACACCAUGGGAGUGGGUUUUACCGAAGUAGUUAGCCUAACCGUAAAGGAGGGCGAUUACCACGGUAGGAUUCAUGACUGGGGUGAAGUCGUAACAAAGGUA
rnacentral:rRNA from 1 species